rnacentral:rRNA from 1 species
CAGCCGCCACGGUAAUACGAAGGGUGCAAGCGUUAAUCGGAAUUACUGGGCGUAAAGCGUGCGUAGGCGGUGAGUUAAGUCCGCUGUGAAAUCCCCGGGCUCAACCUGGGAAUGGCAGUGGAUACUGGCUCGCUAGAGUGUGUCAGAGGAUGGUGGAAUUCCCGGUGUAGCGGUGAAAUGCGUAGAGAUCGGGAGGAACAUCAGUGGCGAAGGCGGCCAUCUGGGACAACACUGACGCUGAGGCACGAAAGCGUGGGGAGCAAACAGGAUUAGAUACCCCCGUAGUCCCUGUCUCUUAUAC